rnacentral:lncRNA from 1 species
CCAAUCCAAAGUAAGUCGGAUGCAUAUUUUUUUAGUAAAUUUAGAUUUCAGCCACACAAAAACUUUCACUUUUGGAAAAAGUCAAAACUUUUCCAAAAAAGACAGAAAAACCUAUCAACUUUCAAACCAAAGACAUGCAAAUGUAAAGGAUUCCUUAGGAAAUCCAAAAAUAAUAAGGGCAUUUUUGUCCAUUUUGGCUUCUUUUAAAAAUAUUUCUCUCCUUUGGCCUUUUCCAAAAUGUCCCUGUUUUUUUUCUUCUUAACGCCAAUUUUGUUUAUUCAUUUUUUUUUCUUUUUUUAAUAAUUUUCUUUUUCUUACUUAGCUCUCUAUGUAUUAGGAAGAUGAGUACCAGACUCGAG